CGGUCUGGACAACAGUGUAGCCUCACCAAGCACGGGGGACGACGAUGACCCGGAUAAGGAAAAGAAGCGCAACAAGAAGAGAGGAAUCUUCCCCAAAGUGGCCACCAACAUCAUGAGAGCAUGGCUUUUCCAGCAUCUAACACAUCCAUACCCAUCGGAAGAACAGAAGAAGCAAUUGGCACAAGACACAGGCCUUACCAUUCUACAAGUGAACAACUGGUUCAUCAAUGCCCGGAGGAGAAUAGUCCAGCCUAUGAUUGACCAGUCAAACCGUGCAGGCAAGUCUCUUAUAAUUUCUAAUGCUGGCUUUUCUAGUCUCUCUGGUCAAA